rnacentral:rRNA from 1 species
GACGUAGGUGGCGAACGUUAUCCGGAAUCAUUGGGCGUAAAGGGUGCGUAGAUGGCAUGAUAAGCUAUUAGUGGGAAAUCGAGGCUCAACCUCGUGGAAGCUGGUAAUACUGUUUUGCUUGAGUGCAGGAGAGGUUAACGGAACUCCAUGUGGAGCGGUAAAAUGCGUAGAUAUAUGGAAGAACAUCAAUAACGGCGAAGGCAGUUAACUAUUCUGCUACUGACAUUGAGGCACGAAAGCGUGGGGAGCAAAACGG